CCCGCUUACCCUGGUAAAUGGGGGGAAACGUUCGGAACGGACGCUAAUACCGCAUACGUCCUACGGGAGAAAGCAGGGGACCUUCGGGCCUUGCGCUAUCAGAUGAGCCUAGGUCGGAUUAGCUAGUUGGUGAGGUAAUGGCUCACCAAGGCUACGAUCCGUAACUGGUCUGAGAGGAUGAUCAGUCACACUGGAACUGAGACACGGUCCAGACUCCUACGGGAGGCAGCAGUGGGGAAUAUUGGACAAUGGGCGAAAGCCUGAUCCAGCCAUGCCGCGUGUGUGAAGAAGGUCUUCGGAUUGUAAAGCACUUUAAGUUGGGAGGAAGGGCAUUAACCUAAUACGUUAGUGUUUUGACGUUACCGACAGAAUAAGCACCGGCUAACUCUGUGCCAGCAGCCGCGGUAAUACAGAGGGUGCAAGCGUUAAUCGGAAUUACUGGGCGUAAAGCGCGCGUAGGUGGUUUGUUAAGUUGAAUGUGAAAUCCCCGGGCUCAACCUGGGAACUGCAUCCAAAACUGGCAAGCUAGAGUAUGGUAGAGGGUAGUGGAAUUUCCUGUGUAGCGGUGAAAUGCGUAGAUAUAGGAAGGAACACCAGUGGCGAAGGCGACUACCUGGACUGAUACUGACACUGAGGUGCGAAAGCGUGGGGAGCAAACAGGAUUAGAUACCCUGGUAGUCCACGCCGUAAACGAUGUCAACUAGCCGUUGGGAGUCUUGAACUCUUAGUGGCGCAGCUAACGCAUUAAGUUGACCGCCUGGGGAGUACGGCCGCAAGGUUAAAACUCAAAUGAAUUGACGGGGGCCCGCACAGCGGUGGAGCAUGUGGUUUAAUUCGAAGCAACGCGAAGAACCCUUACCAGGGCCUUGACAUCCCAAUGAACCUUUCUAGAGAUAGAUUUGGUGCCCUUCGGAACAUUGAGACAGGUGCUGCAUGGCUUGUUCGUCAGCUCGUGUCGUGAGAUUGCUGGGUUUAGUUCCCGUUACGAGCGCAACCCCCUUGUUCUAGUUACCAGCACGUAUUGGUUGGCACUCUUAAGGAGACUGCCGGUGAACAACCCGAGAAGUGGUGAAUAGACGUUCAGGCUACUCAUGGGCCCUUUACGGCUGGGGCUCACACACUGCUCUACAUGUCUGGCAAAUGGGUUGUCUCACAC
rnacentral:rRNA from 1 species